rnacentral:rRNA from 1 species
GAUGAACGCUGGCGGCGUGCCUAAUACAUGCAAGUCGAGCGAACAGACGAGGAGCUUGCUCCUGUGGCGUUAGCCGCAGACGGGUGCGACACACGUGGAUAACCUCCCUAUAAGUCUGGGAUCAUUUCGGGAAACCGGCGCUAACACCAGAUAAUAUAUUGCACCACAUUGUUCUAUAGUGAAAGACGGCUUUCCUUUCACUUCUAGAUGGAUCCGCGCCGCAUUUGCUGGUUGGUGGGGUAACAGCUUACCAAGGAGACGGUGCGCAACCGACCUGAGAGGGGGAUCGACCACCCUGGACCUGAGACACGCUCCACACGCAGGCGGGAGGGACCAGUAGUCAACCUUACGCAAUGGGCGAAAGCCUGACGGAGGAACUCCGGGUGGGUGAUGAGGGUCUUCGGAUCGGAAAACCCGGUUAUUCGGGAAGAACGAAUGAGUAAGUAAAUAGGCACGUCUUGACGGUACCUAAUCAGAAAGCCACGGCUAACUACGUG